GAAGAAUCUUCGAGGAUAUUGUCA
rnacentral:siRNA from 1 species